AGCGAACGCUGGCGGCAUGCCUAACACAUGCAAGUCGAACGAGACCUUCGGGUCUAGUGGCGCACGGGUGCGUAACGCGUGGGAACCUGCCCUUAGGUUCGGAAUAACUCCCCGAAAGGGGUGCUAAUACCGGAUAAUGUCUUCGGACCAAAGAUUUAUCGCCUUUGGAUGGGCCCGCGUUGGAUUAGCUAGUUGGUAGGGUAAAAGCCUACCAAGGCGACGAUCCAUAGCUGGUCUGAGAGGAUGAUCAGCCACACUGGGACUGAGACACGGCCCAGACUCCUACGGGAGGCAGCAGUGGGGAAUAUUGGACAAUGGGCGAAAGCCUGAUCCAGCAAUGCCGCGUGAGUGAUGAAGGCCUUAGGGUUGUAAAGCUCUUAUACCCGGGAUGAUAAUGACAGUACCGGGAGAAUAAGCUCCGGCUAACUCCGUG
rnacentral:rRNA from 1 species